GGUCGGCGCUCCCCACCUCUUGAGUCCGGGCGCGGCUUCCCCGCCGUGAGCACCUCCGCCUCCCCGUGUGCGAGAGGAGAGAAGGCGACGCGCCGCCGCUCCUCCUCUGCGUCCAGGCACCGCCGGCCCUCCUCCUCCGCGUCCAGGCGCCGCCGGCCCUCCUCCUCCGCGUCCAGGCGCCGCCGGCCCUCCUCCGCCGCCGCUCCAUCCUCGUCGUUCGCCCUCCCCGUCCAGGUCGCGCAGCUCUGAGCCGCUGCGUCUUCCGCCUCCCCCAACUGCCGGUCCUCCGCCUCCCCGUCAAGAUCCGACACCACGCCGCCGUCCUCUUGUCUCCUCCGCCUCCCGUCCAAGAUCCAAGAAAGUGUUCCUCUCCUCCUCCUCCUCCUACCCUUGUGCUAGGGUUUGUUGUGGAUCCCUAUUCAUGAUAGGUUGGUGAUUGCUUUCGCGUCCCUGUCAAGAUUCGCACCCGACGCUGUGACAUACCUGUGCCUGAUUUUGUUUUGCUGUCGCAUCAUUUGUCGAUAUAGCUAUGAGAGCCUAUGAUGUGCUUGGAACAUGAUGCUAAUGUCGCCAGCAGUUAGUUCACUUCUAAGCCAUGAAAUUAACCUGGAAGUUCCUUAGCAUCACCGUUAUUUUACAUUUUUCUAUUGACUUUCAGUUAUUUGUUAGCAGGUUGGAUGUGUUUUUAUUCAGUAUAGUGUCUCAUUCAGGUUCAGGUAGCGUACAAUUAAACAUGAGGGCACUAUUCAGUGAAGAACUUCUUUGGUCACUGUUUGUGGUCACUGUUUGAUUCCUAUUUAGAAGGUUAACAAUUUCUUGACGCCAUCAUUUGAAACUGACAAUAUCAUAUACAUGAAAAUGGAAUUGCUUCAAAAAUCAUGUCACUUAUGUCUAUGCUGAUUUGCCACUUCUGUUACAGAACAAUUACUACAUUGUGGUACAAAGCUAUUCAUGGUCUCUGUAUUUCAAGAAUCAACGCUUGUUAGAGUAUGCUGAUAAUGUUUAUUGACAUGUUUAUUAGCAUGUGUCGAAGCACUCCUGUUUUAAUUAGCUCAAUAGACUUUGCUGGUUGUUCCAAGUUAGUUCAGCUACUCUCAACUCUGAUGGUCACAUGUUUGAGUCAGUCAGUUAGCUCGGAAUUUUCACAGUUUGUCUCACAAUCACAAGGUCCAGUACACAAGAUGCUGCUUAUUAGUGUUUAUGAAAAUUAAAGCAUUUAUGUUGGUUCACAUUACUUCUAGCUUGCAGAAUAUCUUGUGAUUUUUUUUCUGAACAUGACCUGCUGAGUGCUAUAUCCUUUUUUAUAUGCUGUUGUUUCCAUAUGACAGCUAGCUAGCUAGCACUAUUUUGCUAAUAAAUAAUAUUAUAUCUAUACUAGAAAAUGGAUUCUUGGGAGGAUCAAGUUAGAAGAUUCAUGUUAGAUGAGGAAGAAGAGGGCGACGAACUAUAUCUAGUUAUGGUCCCUGCCCUUCAAUUGUGCAUGUAUGACAAGAAGAUACCAGAGCACACCUCAUCUCUAUCUGGGGCACAAAAGGUUAGAGAAAUUUUAGAAGGUCAUGAGAGGUGGUGCAAAGUAGAGUUUAGGAUGGAGUCUCAUAUUUUUAGAGCAGUAGCACAUUUUCUCAGAGUGGAGAAUUUAUUACGUGAUACUCAUGGUGUUAAGAUUGAGGAGCAAUUAGGAAUGUUUAUGUUCAUGCUCUCCCAUAAUGCUAGCACCGAGAGGCUAAAAAAGGAAUACCAACAUAGUGGAGAGACAAUACAUCGGAAAAUUACAGAGGUCUUCGAUAUAAUUCCAGCUCUCACUCAUAGAUUUGUGAAGCUGCCAAAUGUAAACCAGAUACAUGUCAAGAUUGCAUCUGAUCCUCGAUAUAUGCCUUUCUUCCAGGUUAGUAAUAGGUCUCGAAUAUUUGCUCUAAUCACAACUUCACAACACAAGGUUCCAACACUCAUUCCUUGGUUUUCCUUGGUACUCUAUGUAAUGGGCUCGGUACAAUAAUUAGUUGGCUUAAUUGCUCCAUUUUGUAUGGCUAAUACAUAUAGUGCUCCCAUCCUUUAUUUCUAAUAGUCAUGCCAGCAGAAAGUUCAAGGGCUACGUAGAGCUACACUUAUGAGAAAGGACUUGUGGAAGCAAUGCAGGCGCUUGUCAACAUCCCCAGGUUGAAGGGACAGAAUGGGUGGAUAGCAGAAGGUUGGAGGAACGUUACCAACCAAUUCAAUGAAAGGUUUCCUCAUGCACAAUUCACCAAGCAACAAGUACAAGAAAAGGAGAAAGAACUAAAGGGGAACUAUAAGAUACUAUGACAAGCAAGAGCUAAUAUUGGUGUCGGCUGGAAUGACACUUUCGGUAUGAUCAAUGCUGAACCAAAAAUUUGGGCAAAGUUGAUAGAAGUAAGUACUAAUCAACAAUCGAUUUGGUUUGGAAUCUUGAGGUGUCUAUUCUGAUUCCUAAGUACCAAAUAUAUAUUUUGUUGUGUUCAAAUAGAAUAAUCCUAAAGUCAGCAAGUUCCGCAAGAAGGCUUUUCCUUUAUUUAACAGCUUGGAAUCAUUGUAUGAAGCUAAUACUUUUAUCUAGCUAACAGUUGAGUAAUUCACUUCUAUCUAUUCACUUGUUAAAUAACUCUCUUGUACAAUAGGAAGUAUUGCCACAGGGGAUUUAAAUUUUACAUCCACUCAAUCUGUACCUCAGAGAACUGAGCAGCGAGUUGAACCUAUAACUCAGAGAACUGAGCAACGAGUUGAACCUAUACCUCAGAGAAGUAUCUCAGAGCAAAGCACCCAUAACACAACACCUAGUAGAAAUCCAUUCAAUUCUGGUCUUGAUGGCAUCGAGAGCACUGAAGUUCAAUCUGCUGCUACAAAUCAAACUUUAGAGGAUGUAGAAGGUUUCAGUGGCAAGAAACGUAAGCAAAGUCAAAUGGCAGCAAGACUUGGAGACUACAUUGAUUUCAGGAAAGACCAGAUUGAAAAAACUAUGAAGGAGCUCAAUGAGAAGAAGAAACGCGAAGAUGACUAUUUUGUUCAGAAGUGCAUUGACAUUGUGGACGCCAUAGAAGAACUAACUGAUGAGCAGAAGGCAGAUUGCAAUGAGCUAUUCCAAUCUGAAAUGAAUAGACAAAUCUUUGUGGGCACAAAAAACCCAAAGGUCAGGCUUAUUUGGUUGAAGAAAAAAAAUUCUCAGGGUAGUAGACCUAGCUUUGGCCAUGGUGGCGACAGUGCUUUUGGUGCUGGGGCAUCUACUAUGGAGUGAUAAUUCAAUACCCCAUACCACUGGGUCAAGGCGGCUUCGAAAAGGAUCAACUACACGUCCACCAGCACUAAAAUCAGAUUUAGAAGCUACAGUUGAGACUUGUACAGCCAGCAAAUCACGUGCUAUUUUUGCAAGAACAGGAUAUUCAUCAGUCUGGUUCUUCCACCAUGCCAAGAUAUCAAACUGACCACUGAGCCUCAGAGGUCUGCUGUAUCAGUAUCUCCAGGCUCAUUUGACCCACUUUUAGGCCUCGAAGAUGAGGGUGCUUCAGCAGCAUAGAACUGGGACCUGCCUGCGGAGAGACCUCAUAUGAAAUGAUUAUACCGUGUUUUUAGCUGGCAGGAGGCCUUGUAGGAUCUGGAUUUUUGUAUUGUGUAAUUUGGCAUCAAUACAGUAUUGGUUUGGCAUAAAUGCAGUAUUUUCAAGGCCUGUGUGCUUGCAAGAUACGAACUUUUUGUUUGGUGACCAAUUGUGUUUGUUUGCCUUACAUAAUGGAGAUGUAUAUGUGAUCCAAUAAUUUGCUGCGACAAAUCUUUAUUUAUCUGCAACAA